rnacentral:rRNA from 1 species
GCAAGUCGAGCGCUUUCCUUCGGGGAGGAGCGGCGGACGGGUGAGUAACGCGUAGGAAUCUACCCGGUAGUGGGGGACAACUUGUGGAAACGCAAGCUAAUACCGCAUACGCCCUAUGGGGGAAAGCGGGGGAUCUUCGGACCUCGCGCUAUCGGAUGAGCCUGCGUAGGAUUAGCUAGUUGGUGAGGUAAAGGCUCACCAAGGCGACGAUCCUUAGCUGGUCUGAGAGGAUGAUC